CUAUACUAUUCAGAGUUUGAUCCUGGCUCAGGAUGAACGCUGGCGGCGUGCCUAACACAUGCAAGUCGAACGAAGCACACCCCUCCGGGGGUGUGACUGAGUGGCGGACGGGUGAGUAACGCGUGGGUAACCUGCCCUGUACAGGGGGAUAACAGCCAGAAAUGGCUGCUAAUACCGCAUAAGCGCACGAAGGGACAUCCCUUCGUGUGAAAAACUCCGGUGGUACAGGAUGGGCCCGCGUCUGAUUAGCUGGUUGGCGGGGUAAUGGCCCACCAAGGCGACGAUCAGUAGCCGGUCUGAGAGGAUGAACGGCCACAUUGGAACUGAGACACGGUCCAA
rnacentral:rRNA from 1 species